rnacentral:rRNA from 1 species
CCCACGAGAAAUUUAGGUAGUUAAUACCCACUAGUAUAAUAGAAGUAGGCGAUCACUUUAUUUAUUAAAGAGUUUAUCACUCGAAGAUGGCUGUGCGGCUGAUUAGGUAGUUGGCGGGUAAAGGCCCACCAAGCCUGCGAUCAGUAACUGGUGUGAGAGCACGACCAGUCACACGGGCACUGAGACACGGGCCCGACUCCUACGGGAGGCAGCAGUAAGGAAUAUUGGUCAAUGGAGGCAACUCUGAACCAGCCAUGCCGCGUGGAGGAUGAAGGUCCUCUGGAUUGUAAACUUCUUUUAUAUGGGACGAAAAAGGCUUUCUAAGUCGUCUGACGGUACCAUAUGAAUAAGCACCGGCUAACUCCGUG